UUUUCUUCUUCUUUUCUUCUCUUUCACGUUGCUUCCAACCUCCAUGGAAGCUUGAUAUGAACCUCCAUAACCUCCCUCAAAAUAGCUCAACUUUUCAUGCUUUUGGUGCACCCUUUCAUAAAUCUUUGUGCUCUUCCACUCUCUCUCUUUAAAACCCUUGAAAAAUCUUAUUUCCAUACUCUCUCUCACUAGUUAGGUGUUUUAGAGAGAGAAAGAGGAAGCUUUAUUAAUAGCUUGAAAAUUUUUGGAAAGAAUUUCAAGCACAAAGCUACCAAGGUGAGUGGUGAACUAGAAUUGAUUUUUAGUGUUGAAAAUGAUUAGUGUUUAGACUUGUGGGUGUUUUGGUAGUUGAGGUUGGAAAUUCACUUUGGAGUGAUUAGGAUAGUGAAAAUGGAUAGCCAUUUAAUGGCACUUGGAAACUAGUAGGUGAUAGCUUGUAGAACUUGUAAUUAUGAGAAUUGAGUUAAUUGUGAUGUUAAUGUGAUGAUAGGUUCCAACGAAGCCCCACCGUCCCAUUUGGACCAUUAGGGAAGUUAGAAUCGACUAAAGGUUCAACGAAAUACUGGUGAGUGGACUUGCAUUUCAAACUUGUUUUGGGAAUGCGAAUGUGUUUGCACAAGAUAUUUGAAUGAUUUUAUCAAACUUUUCUUUGCAAAUGUGUGCCAGGGAACAAGCCUUGAUUAAAUAUUUUUGAUAUUGUGAAAUGUGAGAUGUGUAUAAGGAUGAAUCCGUAUGCUUUAUAGUAUGUUGGUAGGUGUGUAUAUAUCUUAUGAAUAUGUGUUGUGUAUUGAUGAAUGAUGUUGGGUGGUAAUGUUGAAGUGUGCGAGUAGAGAGUGCACACAUGAUGAUGAUAGAGUGUGCGUGUAGGAAGUGCACACAUGAUGAUAAUAGAGUGUGCAAGUAGGGAGUGCACACAUGAUGACGAUGUAUGUAUAUAUAAUUGUGUGUGUUAUAGAAAGCUCAUGAAUGUGGUUUAUGGUUGUAAUGCAUGUUAAAUUUGGCAUGAUGAAUCUUGAGAAUUUCUCAUUUUCUUGCAAAUUGAUUUUUAUGGCAACACCAAAUGGAUUUUUAGUGAAAAGGAGGUCUUUUUUACACUUAGGUGCCCUGCUUCUCAUUGCAGCGAGAAACAUUCUGUUUUGGCAGCCAACAACUCGCUGCAGUGAAAAACUCUUGGGUUUUGGUGUAGUACUUUCACUUCGAUGAAGAUUUUGACUAUAUUCCCAUCUGAACUGAGAAA
rnacentral:lncRNA from 1 species